GCGGACGUGGUGGAAUAGGUAGACACAAGAGACUUAAAAUCUCUCGGAGGUAACUCCGUGCCGGUUCGAGUCCGGCCGUCCGCA
rnacentral:tRNA from 1 species